rnacentral:rRNA from 1 species
UACGAAGGGUGCAAGCGUUACUCGGAAUUUACUGGGCGUAAAGCGUGCGUAGGUGGUUCGUUAAGUCUGAUGUGAAAGCCCUGGGCUCAACCUGGGAAUGGCAUUGGAUACUGGCGACCUAGAGUGCGGUAGAGGGGUGUGGAAUUCCCGGUGUAGCAGUGAAAUGCGUAGAUAUCGGGAGGAACAUCUGUGGCGAAGGCGACACCCUGGACCAGCACUGACACUGAGGCACGAAAAGGCGUGGGGAGCAAACAGG